rnacentral:rRNA from 1 species
CUCCUCGACCUCGACCGCGCUGGCUGGUCUGUCGAUCGACACCCGAAGACUAGGGUCUCACGCGCACCGAGUAGGGUGCUCUUUUGUCUCCUCACUCCCAGCUUGGGUUCCUUUUCCUUUUCCUAGUCCCCGGAAGAAGAAAGAGAGGAAGAGGAGCGACGAGUGGAAGGAGUGGUCUAGCUUCGUUCUCUUCUGUUCCCCAAGCUGGUCUAGGUUCCUUCUCUCCCCUACCCCCCGUCCGCCGUGGCAGAUGGCCUGUCGCCCCGCAGCCCGACAGACCACGAGGUGCGCUCCCGAGGACCACCACGAGACGAGGCCCGUUCCGCGCACCCACCGACUGGGAGGUGCUUCCGGUGGUGCCAAGAAGGGGUUCCCAGGAGGCGACGAGUAGAAGUGGUUCAAGAAGUGGUGCGACGUCAAGAUGGGGUUCCUAGGAGGAGACGAUGAGAAGAAGUUGCAGGUGCGCCUUCUAGAGGUCCGGAAAGGACGAUGUCUAGCAGAGGUUGAGCAGGGACGAGAAGAAGAAGAAGCGGACGACUAGAUGUCGAGCCCUUAGUUGAGACAUAGAGAGAAGAGAACAACGUUAAGAGAGUUUGAGAGAUGGCAAAUGAAACUUAACGACUAUAGAUCAACUUAGCAACGGACUUGAUCUCUAAUGACAUCAAUAUAGACAACCUAAUAAUGAACCACUUUAGAACACUUGGUCUAAACUACACACGCUGAAGACUUAGGAGAUGAUGACAUAUACGAUCACUAAUAAAACAAACAAAGUAAUAAGUAUUUUAGUGGGUUUUGUAUAGACUAGGAAGAGAUGACGACAAAAUAAAAUAAAAGAGAAGUAGUCUCACACAACACCCAGCCGACUCAUCAAUGAACUAGACGUAGGAGGUUACGAACAGAAGAAAAAGGGACAACGGGUAAUCGAUGUCUUAAUUCAUACGUAAUCAUGUUCUCAAGGAAGCGUGACGUUUCAUCGAACCGAGAUUCUUUAAACGUAUCGUAGAAAUGAAGUUAGGGACACCUCAUGAAGCUGAAGGCGACAAACGCUCGUUUAUAAAGGCGUAGGAGGAUACGAACAGAAGAAAAAGGGACAACGAAUGAGGUAAUCGAUGUCUUAAACAAUACGUAGUCAUGUUCUCAAGGAAGCGUGACAACGUUUCAUCGAACCGACAUUCUUUAAACGUAUCGUAGAAAUGAAGUUAGGGACACCUCAUGAAGCUAUAGGCGACAAACGGACAAACGCUCGCUUAUAACGGCGAUAUAAUUGUCGAGUAGUCAUUCUUCGUCUCUCAUCUUAUCUGGCACUUAUCUUGCGUGACAUUGUUUAUGAAGCUGUCAUCGAAGUUCGUCUCUCAUAUCGGAAUGGUACGACAUUGACAUUAUUUAUGAGGGAGACAUGGUUUUAGCAGAAUAUAAAACCAUGUCUGCAAGGCGUAUAAAAGAGAGGUUUUUACCAACAAAAAGGGCGAUUAAGAGUGAAAUAGAUCAGUUUUAUCUAUUGAACACGAAAUUAGUCCCCGCAAUGACCGUACAGUUUUUGGGUGUAGAGGAUGUCGACUGAUUGUUGUCCCAUUUGUUUGUCGCUCUAAGACUAAGAGUCCUUAGGUCUCGGUGUAGACUAAGAGUCCUUAGGUGUCGGUGUCACUAAGAGUCCUUAGGCAUCGUGUUUAUUUAAGUCAAUAGAUGUAACCAAGUCUACACCGUUGGAAGAUAAGAGGAGGAAACGAAGUAAGAAGUUCCACGACAACGACGACUAUCUUCGCUUCAAACCCCGAUGCAACUUUAAGCAGUGUUCCGCGUGGAUAAAACCACCAUAAUGUUCUCGGGUGUAGCCCGCAGAAGCGGUUAUUUCCGUACCGGUUGGUAGGAGACCAACCUCCCGCCAGGCCCUCCCAGUCCGCAGCCCCCACCGUUGAAGGUCCCCUAGCCCGGCGACCUACAGUUAGACUUCGGUGCGUUGAGCUGCACCGACGUCUUCCGACUAGAGUAGAAGCACCUGAAUGGUCACCCACAGCCCAUAUCGAUGCACCUCCUGGGUUCGCACGAUCGAUGUUGCCUGCACGUUCAGCGACGACUACGGUGGCUCGAGGAGUUCCGUGAAUGGUUCCUCUAUGGGUGGAACGUGUCGUCGGGCAACAAGGAACAGCCGCUCAGGAUACCACCGUUCGAACGUCGGUUCUAACCUUAGAGGCAUCGUUCCCGGUAGGUGCGGCCGCGGGAGUUCGAGUGUGAUCCCCCACACCACGAACCCCUAUCGACCUAGAGUGGUCUACUAAAACGCGACAGUAUACGCGUUGACAACGCACUACACAGUUCCGACUCGCUGCUUCGACAACGGGGAGAGUUGUCUUACCGCCGUUAUCAUUUUCUCGUCUAUCGUCGGUCUGUUAAGUGGUGCCGCUUCUACUGCACCUGCUUAGAACAACUAAACUAACUGGUCGUCUCACUACCGCACCUAUACGAUUUAAAGAACGAACUGUUUCCGCUUCCGAGUAGCUGCUCGGUCCACAAAGGCAGCUGGGGGUUGUGGUAACUGCCAGAGUACUUACCCCAGUAAUUUCUUUUCAACUUCCAAUAAGGAUUCUUGUAUUAAACCGUUCCUCACCGAUAAGUUCAAAAGCUUCGUUACUUACGGUGGAUGUACUUCGGUCGUUAGCUACUCCAACUAGUUAACGAUCGUAUACCUCAUUUACAUAGCCAAAUAUUACCCGUUAAGCUACACUAUACGAGCUGUUAGCCACAUCUUCGAACCCAGUUUUUUGAGUUUACCCGACCAGACUUCUCAAAGAACUCGUGCGGUUCCGUCCGAAACGCUAUGACACUAAGAGGUCGCGCGACGGAGUUGGGGCACUUCCGUAUGCGAUCUAGUAUGGUCUUGGACUUGAAGAUGACCUAGGAGCCUCGACCUGUGUCCCACGGACAGCUGUUCGGCCUGCAACGACAUUCCUACUAGUCGUCGUAGCAAGUCAGUGGACUGUCGAUCCUUCUAUAGGAGACAUACACAAAAAUAAAUAAAAUCAACGUAACGUGUUCUUUUAAAUUCUCUUCACCUUCCACCUCCCCGUCCGUGGACCAGGAGGUGUGAGAAGUAAGACCUAUACCCAAGGCCCGGAGAGACUGCCAGAGUCUCAAGUACGAUUUUGUAAAGUCUUAGAAACUGGCUCUACAAUACAUACUCAGACAAGAUCGGAGUCAUCCGUAGGACUUUCUCUACUAGUAAGACAACGUGACGUAUGACUACAUUUUGAGUUCAUAUAGAUUUACUUUAUAAAGAAAG